rnacentral:rRNA from 1 species
AUGAACGCUGGCGGCGUGCCUAAUACAUGCCAGUCGAGCGAACAGAUGAGGAGCUUGCUCCUCUGACGUUAGCGGCGGACGGGUGAGUAACACGUGGAUAACCUACCUACAAGACUGGGAUAACUUCGGGAAACCGGAGCUAAUACCGGAUAAUAUAUUGAACCGCAUGGUUCAAUAGUGAAAGGCGGUUUUGCUGUCACUUAUAGAUGGAUCCGCGCCGCAUUAGCUAGUUGGUAAGGUAACGGCUUACCAAGGCAACGAUGCGUAGCCGACCUGAGAGGGUGAUCGGCCACACUGGAACUGAGACACGGUCCAGACUCCUACGGGAGGCAGCAGUAGGGAAUCUUCCGCAAUGGGCGAAAGCCUGACGGAGCAACGCCGCGUGAGUGAUGAAGGUCUUCGGAUCGUAAAACUCUGUUAUUAGGGAAGAACAAAUGUGUAAGUAACUAUGCACGUCUUGACGGUACCUAAUCAGAAAGCCACGGCUAACUACGUG